rnacentral:rRNA from 1 species
UACGGGGGGGGGGCAAGCGUUUGUUCGGAAUUACUGGGCGUAAAGGGCGCGUAGGCGGCCUGCUAAGUCGGACGUGAAAUCCCUCGGCUCAACCGGGGAACUGCGUCCGAUACUGGUGGGCUCGAAUCCGGGAGAGGGAUGUGGAAUUCCAGGUGUAGCGGUGAAAUGCGUAGAUAUCUGGAGGAACACCGGUGGCGAAGGCGGCAUCCUGGACCGGUAUUGACGCUGAGACGCGAAAAGCGUGGGGGAGCGAACAGG